AAAGUUCUUGCCUCUGAACCGAUAGGUCCCGGGUUCGAUCCCCGGUCGGGUCAUGAUGGAAAAUGAUCUUUUUCUGAUUGGCCCGGGUCUUGGAUGUUUAUGUAUAUAUAUAUUUGUUAUAAAAUAUAGUAUCGUUGACUGAAAAUCCGGAAUCAUUUUUCUUUCUCGGGAUAUGUUUUUGGAUUAUAUCAUAUUUGAUGACCAUAAUCGUGUUGGCGGAGCCCUGUCAUCGCACUAGCGAAGAGAGAAAAAAGACAGUGAGCAUCGUCAGUCAUAUGCUUGCCGAGACUCCGAAUCAGGGCGCGCUGGCCUCUCGUCUGAAGGUGUUCUCUCGUCAGCUGAUGAACCAGCGCGCUGCAUACAUGCCCAUGGGUUUCUUCACUUUAAACCGAUCACUUUUGGCUUCAUCAUUUGGAAUAGUGAUUACGCAUAUAGUGAUACUACUGCAGCUGCGAGACGAUUGAAAGAUUCGCUCAUUUUCAAGGGAACGUCGGUGACGAAAAAAUGAAGGUUUUUAAUAAUCAAACACUAUAAUUAGAUGUCUAAUAAUUUAUUUGAUCAGUUUUAUUAAUUAAAAUGAGAUUUAAUAUUUAUUCCGUCACAUUAAAGUAUAUUAGAAAUGCUUUUCGCUUACAAAUCCGUGACGUCGCAUCACUUUACUGUCUGUCAUACAAGCUCCAUAUAGAAUUUUGAUUUUGACGUUAGAAAAAAGUAUCUGGAUUGACUGGUUAGAGAUUAGUCAAUUUGUGUUUUACCAUUGCACCAAUCACGUUGACGUUUCGUAAUUUUUUUCACGAUAAAUAAAUA